rnacentral:rRNA from 1 species
UACGUAGGGGGCGAGCGUUGUCCGGAAUUACUGGGCGUAAAGGGUGCGUAGGCGGCCCUUUAAGUCGGAUGUGAAAGCCCGCGGCUUAACCGCGGAAUGGCAUUCGAGACUGGGGGGCUAGAGUCCGGGAGAGGUGAGCGGAAUUCCCAGUGUAGAGGUGAAAUUCGUAGAUAUUGGGAAGAACACCGGUGGCGAAGGCGGCUCUCUGGGCCAGCACUGACGCUGAGGAGCGAAAGCGUGGGGAGCAAACAGG